rnacentral:rRNA from 1 species
UACGAAGGGGGCGAGCGUUGUUCGGAAUUACUGGGCGUAAAGGGCGCGUAGGCGGCGACUCAAGUUAGAUGUGAAAGUCCUGGGCUUAACCUGGGGACUGCAUUUGAUACUGGGUUGCUUGAAUUCGGGAGAGGAUAGCGGAAUUCCCAGUGUAGAGGUGAAAUGCGUAGAUAUCGGAAGGAACGCCGGUGGCGAAAGCGACUGUCUGGGGUGCCUGUGACGCUGAGGCGCGAAAGCCAGGGGAUCAAACGGG